UCAAACCCUAGGGUCUCUCAGAAUGCGCGAAUCCCGCACUAUCAAUACACCCACCACCAUGGCGAAGAAGCGGAAGCUCGAAGCGGAACCCUCACAAAUCAAUGAGGAUGUGAAAAGCGUUGCUGGAGACAAAGUAGAAGAAAUUGGGCACGACGAAGUUGAAGUGGUAGAGGAAGAAGAAGCGCAUGCUGAAGAAGACGAUCCACACAGCAUCUGCUGCGUCGGAGAGGAGCCAAUCUCGAUCAACAAUGUUGGUGGCAACGCGUUAACAAUUCCAAGCAAUAACGACGGAGGCGGCGAAGAGCCAAUUGAGAGCAACAACAACGGCGACUAGGCAGAGGAGGAAGAGGAGCCUAUUCAGAGCGUCCUAGCUGCUUUUUAGUAAGGAAUCACUGGUCCAAUUGCUCACGGAAGCCGCCGAUCGCCACGCCGACGUGGCGGCUAGGGUUCGGGCCUCGGCGGAUCUGGAACCCUCCAACCGGAAGAUAUUCGUGCACGGCCUCAAGUGGGACACCACCACGGAGACGCUGUUCGAGGAGUUCGCGAAAUUCGGUGAAAUUGAGGAUUGCCGCGUCAUCACCGACAAGGCCACUGGCCGAUCCAAGGGCUACGGGUUCGUUCUCUUCAAGACCCGCCUCGAAGCUCGCCAGGCUCUGAAGGAGCCUCAGAAGUUGAUCGACGAACGAAUGACGUCGUCCCAGCUGGCAUCCGUGGGGUCUAUUGCUACGGCAUUUCCACAGAAACCGGUGACAGAGUAUACACAGAGGAAGAUUUUUGUGGGUAAUGUGGGGGAGGAUUUGGAUCCGGAGAAAGUGAAGAAUUUCUUCUCUAUGUGUGGGGAGAUCGAGGAAGGCCCUUUGGGGCUAGAUAGAGAGACUGGCAAGCCAAAGGGCUUCUGCUUGUUUACAUAUAAGACUGUGGAAAGUGCAAAAUUGGCGUUGAGCUAGCCUCAUAAGCAGUUUGAAGGGGUUACAUUGCAUAGCCAACAGGCAAUUGAUGGACCAAAGCCUCGGGCUAAGAAUCUGCAAUAUGUCGACAAUGUGUAUCCUAGUAUGGUUGGUUCAACUAUGGCGCCGCCUCCCUAUAUGCAGUUGGACCCUUCUGCUGCAGUAGGACAGGCACUGAGCCUUCUCGGGGCGUUUGGAGUGGCCACGGGGAUGUAUAACAACUCUAUAGUGGUGCCGGGUGGCUAUGGGAUGGGUGGUGUAGUGAACAUGGGAUCAGCUGGGUUGGAAGGAAGUUGGAAUCAAAGGGGAUACCCGACCAACCAGAUGAGACGGCGAGGUCGUGGCAGAGGACGCCAUGGUCGCAAAGGUCAGUAGAUUUUGAACAGUGAAAACCUGAAUGGGGAUUUUGCUUCAAUCGGUCUUCACAAACCAGGCAUUUGCGUAUUCAUAUAUAUUUUGGCAGUGCCUACUACAAUUUUCCAAUCUAUCAUCUAUAAACUUAUCUUCUCAUAGACAGGAGAGCUUUAUAUUUUCAUAUUUAAAUAUUGGGAAGUGGUUUGUAACAUAUUUUGGUCAUUGUUGUGGUUUAUUUUGUGAAAAUUUUCUUCUCCUAACAGUGAUUGUUAAUAUUUCCCUCACUUGUGUUUCAUGAGUAGCGACCUUUUUUUUUUUAUUAUCUUUUCAUCCAUUUCUGAUCGUGUUUGUAUAUGAAAUAUGGUCUGCUUGACUGCUUCUCCUGUGGAUUU